GCACCUGUUCUGCAUUAUUCUUUGAUACCUCACACAGGUGCAUCAGUUUUAUAUUGACACCAAUUAUCUGCGAAAGAACAGUGCAGCAUUUGUCUUGUGAUUGGUUUUCAAGGGUUUCUGCUUUUCUGUCAUGGUUACUGCCACCAUCUUGGGUCUGAAAGAAUGAGGCACUGUUUUCAAGAUGUUUUAUAUGGCUCUGUUGGAUGAGGGCUCUGUUGUUUGCCACACUGAUGGCAGGACUUGCUGGGUUGUAACAGUUCUACUCUACAUCAGUGUACAAUACAUGGUUACUGUUGGCUCCAUCCACACCCAGUAUUUCAGAAUUUUUGUAUGAUCUUGGCUCAUGUUGUUGCACAGGUUUCUUCACUGCUAUUUAAUUGUACCAAUAUUACUAAGUUGCCUGUCAAUUACUCAUCAAACCAGCCGAUUGGCAACCAGUUAAAUGGAUAAUAUUUGACCUCUCAACCUUUCCAUAUUGGACUUUCAUUGUAAAAUGGCACUGACUUAAAUUUCAAUAGAUAUCCUGUGUGAAAGGUGAGUUAAUAUUAGAAUCCUGUCAGUUCUUGUGACAGGUUUCCUGCUGACUGUCUUUACUGACAGAAUAUCCUGUAGGGGGAGUCACUGUUCCCAUAACUCCAGGCCUCCCCCCUGUGUCUGCCUCCCUCUGGGUGACUACGUGGUCCUGGCCGUCCUUCUCCUUCCGUCCCGGUUGCUGCCCCCCACACCGUUGUCGUGCACCCUGGCCCCGUCAUCCUGUCGGGUUUCGCUGUCCACCCUGCCCACGCUCUCCUUCCCAUCCGGCCCUGGAGUGUCAGGUCCUGGCCCCCGGCUCCCCCCUGGCCCCCUUUCGCCUCCGGCCCUCCUUCCCCUACCCCUCUCUGCAGCCCCUCCCGUCCGGCCCCGCGGGCGUGGACCCUGGUAGUCUGUGGCGAUUUCGAUGGCUGCUCCUUAUCUGCCUGCCGGAGCAUCUGCUCCUUCGACCCAGCGGGCCUCGGUGCCACAUUUCGAGGCACUCCCAUCCACCCACCAUUUUGGGGUUCACUGACGGGACUCAAACUGCUUGCCGUCUGCCUGGCACUGGAUGCAAAAGCAGACCGUGCAUCUUCGACUGUUUCUUGAAGCAUUCCGCUGGAUCCUCUGAUGAAGAAAAUUACGUCACCCUGCUGAAAAUGAUGGAGAUGGGUUACAUUUAUGGAACUAUC